rnacentral:rRNA from 1 species
GAUGAACGCUAGCUACAGGCUUAACACAUGCAAGUCGAGGGGAAACGACAUUGGAAGCUUGCUUCCGAUGGGCGUCGACCGGCGCACGGGUGAGUAACGCGUAUCCAACCUGCCCACCACUUGGAGAUAACCUUGCGAAAGUAAGACUAAUACCCAAUGAUAUCCCACGAAGGCAUCGGAAUGGGAUUAAAGAUUUAUCGGUGAUGGAUGGGGAUGCGUCUGAUUAGCUUGUUGGCGGGGUAACGGCCCACCAAGGCAACGAUCAGUAGGGGUUCUGAGAGGAAGGUCCCCCACAUUGGAACUGAGACACGGUCCAAACUCCUACGGGAGGCAGCAGUGAGGAAUAUUGGUCAAUGGUCGCGAGACUGAACCAGCCAAGUAGCGUGCAGGACGACGGCCCUCUGGGUUGUAAACUGCUUUUAGUUGGGAAUAAAAGGCGGUACGUGUACCGCGUAUUGUAUGUACCAUCAGAAAAAGGCCGGCUAAUUCCGUG